rnacentral:rRNA from 1 species
GAUGAACGCUGGCGGCGUGCCUAAUACAUGCAAGUCGAGCGAACAGACGAGGAGCUUGCUCCUCUGACGUUAGCGGCGGACGGGUGAGUAACACGUGGAUAACCUACCUAUAAGACUGGGAUAACUUCGGGAAACCGGAGCUAAUACCGGAUAUAUAUUGAACCGCAUGGUUCAAUAGUGAAAGACGGUUUUGCUGUCACUUAUAGAUGGAUCCGCGCCGCAUUAGCUAGUUGGUAAGGUAACGGCUUACCAAGACGACGAUGCGUAGCCGACCUGAGAGGGUGAUCGGCCACACUGGAACUGAGACACGGUCCAGACUCCUACGGGAGGCAGCAGUAGGGAAUCUUCCGCAAUGGGCGAAAGCCUGACGGAGCAACGCCGCGUGAGUGAUGAAGGUCUUCGGAUCGUAAAACUCUGUUAUUAGGGAAGAACAAAUGUGUAAGUAACUAUGCACGUCUUGACGGUACCUAAUCAGAAAGCCACGGCUAACUACGUG